rnacentral:rRNA from 1 species
UUCCGGUUGAUCCUGCCGGAGGCCAUUGCUAUUGGGAUCCGAUUAAGCCAUGCGAGUCGAGGGUGUAAACCCGGCGAACUGCUCAGUGACACGUGGCCAAACUACCCUGUGGAGGAAGAUAACCUCGGGAAACUGAGGAUAAUAUUCCAUAGGUGCCUAUGACUGGGAUGUCCUGGCACCGAAACGUUCCGACGCCACAGGACGUGGCUGCGGCCGAUUAGGUAGACGGUGGGGUAACGGCCCACCGUGCCCGUAAUCGGUAUGGGUUGUGAGAGCAAGAGCCCAGAGAUGGACUCUGAGACACGAGUCCAGGCCCUACGGGGCGCAGCAGGCGCGAAACCUUUACACUGCACGAGAGUGUGAUAAGGGGAUCCCAAGUGCCCGCGCCUAGCGUGGGCUUUUCUGAACCGUAAAGUGGUUCAGGAAUAAGGGCUGGGCAAGACCGGUGCCAGCCGCCGCGGUAACACCGGCAGCUCGAGUGAUGGCCAAUAUUAUUGGGCCUAAAGCGUCCGUAGCUCGCCGAACAAGUCCGUCGGGAAAUCCGCCCGCUCAACGGGUGGACGUCCGGCGGAAACUAUUCGGCUUGGGACCGGAGGGCCCGAGGGGGUACGUCGUGGGUAGGAGUGAAAUCCCGAGAUCCUCGACGGACCGCCGGUGGCUAAAGCGCCUCGGGAAGACGGAUCCGACAGUCAGGGACGAAAGCUUGGGUCUCGAACCGGAUUAGAUACCCGGGUAGUCCAAGCCGUAAACGAUGCUCGCUAGGUGUGGCGUAGGCUACGAGCCUGCGCUGUGCCAAAGGGAAGCCACGAAGCGAGCCGCCUGGGAAGUACGUCUGCAAGGAUGAAACUUAAAGGAAUUGGCGGGGGAGCACUACAACGGGAGGAGCCUGCGGCUUAAUUGGAUUCAACGCCGGA